CCCCAGGUUUAUUUACUAAACUGUUUUACAUUCAAUGAAAUACUUACAACAAUACUUACAGAGCAUUAUCACAAGAGCAAACACAUUGAGAACACUAAUAAAGACCGAGAAUGCAGGUUACAGUUAUUUUCCUGUCAAACUCAAAUGCCACUUCUGUAAACAAUAACAAAACCAGAACAUCGCUGCUAGAAAAGAUGUACACGUAAAAACACUCUACGUACACAAAACUACAUACAUCAUUUUAUACUCUCAACCAAAGCACUCUGGUCAAGCCCAAGUACAAUUUGGUAUUCUCUGUACAAUUAUUAAAUCCUGCUAAAAAUAAUAGUUCUCCUUGGGUUUAAAAUACAGCACAGCGCAUAAGGCAAAAAAAUAGGAAUUAUCAUCCAGUUCUUUGCGUUUCAGUUCAAUAUCAAGAAUUUAAGGCAAGAUUGGACAUUUUGCAUUGUUUCAUAUAGUGAAUGGGGACUUACAGAUGGCAAAUUGACAAAAGCAACACGCUAUCUCCCAGAAAAAAGAAAAGUUAACUGUCAUGCGUACUGGACACAUUUGGCCCUCUAGAAAUUCCAACUAGACUUUCUGAAAGAGAAGCAUUGCUAGUAGGAGAGACUGUCAAGAAGCUUACAGAUGAGUAUCCCUAAAAAGGAAAAAAGCAGAAAUUCAGGAACUGUACGUACACAUACAAACUCAUACCCACUUUUAAGUGCUUUACAGAUAAUUUUGAGUGACUAAGAAAUAGAACUGGAUGAUAAUUUGCAGUUAUAUGACAUCUUACUUGAAGGUCCUUAAUUCUUAAACUGCAAGACAGACAUUACAAUGAGAGUAUUAUUCUUUAAAUGCAGAUUUAAACUGACUGUUGUGUCUGAUCUUCCCACAACCAAGCACUUCAGUGAACAGGACAACAAGCACCCAGAACAGAAAACGAAGAUGGCAUGAUUUUAAGUGACACAAUCCCAUAGCUGAUACACUAGCUAAACAGGUCACCUAAUAUUCAGUGUAUUUCAUUAGGCAUUUUUCCCAUUCUUCAUACCAAGCUUGUCUACUAAAAAAAUGCUUUAUGCUGCUACCUUAAAUUUAGCAAUGCCACAUUACACAAUCUGGGGUCCAUCUCUAUGCUCCGAUUUAACAUUGCCACUGCCUAGGUAAAGUGAAUAAAACAUUUUACAGUUUUAAGUGCUUUGACUUCUAUCAAUGAAAGAUGUUGAUAUAAAAAGUGAAUAACCACCACCCUGACCUACGGAUUUUUUUUUGAAGUCAGAACCAUUUCUAUACCUUGCACCACUUUCUACUAACUGAAAACAGUGUUUACUAGUAUUUCUAAUCAGAACAGGUUUGUGAGCAUCUUCAUUCAUGGAAUUCUAGUAUUGUCAAACUCUUAAAGAGUUCAGUAUAUAACGAACUGCCUGGAAAGCCUCCUAUUUGUAAAAGGCAUAAACUUCUCUCUUACGUAAUGAAUUUUGCUUGUUUAAAUAUUAGUUUAAGCAUCCUUACCUCCGGUGUAUAUUGGAAAAGAUGAUAACCAAUGGCAUCUCUGAGAAACAGACCGAGAAGUGAAACAGCACACAAAAACAUCCAGCUUGUGCAUUCGCCUGAACAGAAUGAGAAGGCAAUCUCUGAAUGGGCUCAAAUAUCUACAUUAACCCCCAAUCCCAAACCUGCCUCCCCUUCUUUCUCCUUCCCACACACAAACAUGCCAUGUACAACCACGUAGCUACUUGUGUUCUAUCAACAGAUUCACCGGAAUAAUUAUGCUAUUAUUGCUAUGAAACUAGAAUCCUUAGUGGGUCAAACAAACUGCAUUGAAAAUGCUGGAAUUGUUACCUUUAUUUAUUGUUACCUUUAUUACCUUCUAAAGUCCUGCUUGAUUCUACCAAAUUUGAAGAAUACAUGCAGGAUUUUAACACCUGUGGAAACACCUGUUAUCUAUGAAUAAUGUCUUAUGGUGAAAACACCCUCGCCUCCUUGACCGUUUAAAAUCUGAACAUUAGUGUAUGGAAGAACAAGGAACACCACUGUUUGCCUGGCUGCAAUUUGCUUUGCAGGAACUCAAAAUAAAUCAAGUACACUCAAACUCCUCCACUUCGCAUACUUAAAAAGAAAUGGCUUUUAAAGCAACUAUUUCAAACAUUAUUGCACCUUCAAAAAUAAUACUAUAUGGGCUUGAAAAACAAGGGGAAACAAACAUUAAUGUAAAACAUUAAAACAAGGAGAAAAUAACUCUGGAGGCAGAAAAAUUCUUCAGUACCAGGCCUGGCAACACACAGACAUCAAAAUAGAAAUUCAAGAUAACCAUGAUUCCUAGUUAAAAUCAGAAGACAAACCAGAACAUUUUAAAUUAGCUAAUAUUUAUUCACUCAUCUACUUUAAUUAAUGGUUAUGACCCGCAGCAUUGCUUUCUAGUUAUCUGCCCAAGUUUUCACUAGGUUUAGAGCUACCAGAAAGUUCUAUCUCUUGAGAUUCUGGUUAGUCACUGGAACAGAACUUCAGUGCUCCGUUACACAGGGGAGACGGUUGGGAUGAGCAACUCUAUUCACUCACUGCAACUUGUGUUAGAGGCAAGGCUGUCUGAAGAACCCGAGACAGGAUCUCACUAUUCACUCCCUAUUUAUGUACUUGUGAGUAUAGAAACAAUAAAC
ensembl:lncRNA